AACGGUAAAAUGUGAGCAGAGAGCGUGAGCUGUGAGUUAGUUAUUAUUCUUUAAGGUCUUGGCACAGAUACUGAAGGCUGGCAUACAUCAGUCAUUAUGUAUCCACUCCAAACGAACAUCCACAUCAGUAACACAAGGCAGUUAUGGUUGAAACCAGUAUGUCAGUAGGUAUCAAUGCUUCCGUGUUGACCACUGAAUGUUCUUAGU